CGACGCCUAUCGCUUCGAUCUUCUUUUCCACGGACUCGACCUUCGUAGUCAUCGAAUCUAACCUCGUCGUCGUCGAUCGAUCGCUCCGAGCCAUCGUAUCGUAACGGAGCUUCAUCAUAUCCCUAUCGUCUUGAAUCCGCUGGAGAUCCAUCGAUUUUGUUGGCUCUGCAACUGUCGCCUUCUCUCGAUCACUCCCAUUCCUCGUCUCUACCAUCGCUCUUCUGAAUUGGUGAUUUCGACCAGUUUCGCCGCACCAGUGAUAGACUUUAGAUCUAGGUAACUGAAUAAUACUCUUCUCUUAUUGAAUAACGAAGUACAAGAUAGCUAGCUUUGUAGUAUGAUCUUGAGCUACACUCUCAUGGCGAGUUUCACUCUAGAUCCUCAAUCUCAUCACGAUUGAGAAGUACAUACUCAUAACGUCCAUAACAAACUACAACAAAGCAUAAGCUCUUCAAGAAUUACAGACUCCUCUUUAUACUAACUCUCAGCUCAACUAACUGUUGUAACUGCAAAUACUCUUCUCGAAAUAGAAGCUUUCCCCUCCUUUCUUACUGUUCGAACUUCUUUACUUCUCA
rnacentral:lncRNA from 1 species